GAUUAAGUUAUUAAGGGCGCACGGUGGAUGCCUUGGCACUAGAAGCCGAUGAAGGACGUUACUAACGACGAUAUGCUUUGGGGAGCUGUAAGUAAGCUUUGAUCCAGAGAUUUCCGAAUGGGGAAACCCAGCAUGAGUUAUGUCAUGUUAUCGAUAUGUGAAUACAUAGCAUAUCAGAAGGCACACCCGGAGAACUGAAACAUCUUAGUACCCGGAGGAAGAGAAAGAAAAUUCGAUUCCCUUAGUAGCGGCGAGCGAAACGGGAAGAGCCCAAACCAACAAGCUUGCUUGUUGGGGUUGUAGGACACUCUAUACGGAGUUAUAAAGGACGACAUUAGACGAAUCAUCUGGAAAGAUGAAUCAAAGAAGGUAAUAAUCCUGUAGUCGAAAAUGUUGUCUCUCUUGAGUGGAUCCUGAGUACGACGGAGCACGUGAAAUUCCGUCGGAAUCUGGGAGGACCAUCUCCUAAGGCUAAAUACUCUCUAGUGACCGAUAGUGAACCAGUACCGUGAGGGAAAUGUGAAAAGCACCCCGGAAGGGGAGUGAAAUAGAACCUGAAACCGUGUGCUUACAAGUAGUCAGAGCCCGUUAAUGGGUGAUGGCGUGCCUUUUGUAGAAUGAACCGGCGAGUUACGAUUUGAUGCAAGGUUAAGCAGUAAAUGUGGAGCCGUAGCGAAAGCGAGUCUGAAUAGGGCGUUUAGUAUUUGGUCGUAGACCCGAAACCAGGUGAUCUACCCUUGGUCAGGUUGAAGUUCAGGUAACACUGAAUGGAGGACCGAACCGACUUACGUUGAAAAGUGAGCGGAUGAACUGAGGGUAGCGGAGAAAUUCCAAUCGAACCUGGAGAUAGCUGGUUCUCUCCGAAAUAGCUUUAGGGCUAGCCUCAAGUGAUGAUUAUUGGAGGUAGAGCACUGUUUGGACGAGGGGCCCCUCUCGGGUUACCGAAUUCAGACAAACUCCGAAUGCCAAUUAAUUUAACUUGGGAGUCAGAACAUGGGUGAUAAGGUCCGUGUUCGAAAGGGAAACAGCCCAGACCACCAGCUAAGGUCCCAAAAUAUAUGUUAAGUGGAAAAGGAUGUGGCGUUGCCCAGACAACUAGGAUGUUGGCUUAGAAGCAGCCAUCAUUUAAAGAGUGCGUAAUAGCUCACUAGUCGAGUGACACUGCGCCGAAAAUGUACCGGGGCUAAACAUAUUACCGAAGCUGUGGAUUGUCCUUUGGACAAUGGUAGGAGAGCGUUCUAAGGGCGUUGAAGCAUGAUCGUAAGGACAUGUGGAGCGCUUAGAAGUGAGAAUGCCGGUGUGAGUAGCGAAAGACGGGUGAGAAUCCCGUCCACCGAUUGACUAAGGUUUCCAGAGGAAGGCUCGUCCGCUCUGGGUUAGUCGGGUCCUAAGCUGAGGCCGACAGGCGUAGGCGAUGGAUAACAGGUUGAUAUUCCUGUACCACCUAUAAUCGUUUUAAUCGAUGGGGGGACGCAGUAGGAUAGGCGAAGCGUGCGAUUGGAUUGCACGUCUAAGCAGUAAGGCUGAGUAUUAGGCAAAUCCGGUACUCAUUAAGGCUGAGCUGUGAUGGGGAGAAGACAUUGUGUCUUCGAGUCGUUGAUUUCACACUGCCGAGAAAAGCCUCUAGAUAGAAAAUAGGUGCCCGUACCGCAAACCGACACAGGUAGUCAAGAUGAGAAUUCUAAGGUGAGCGAGCGAACUCUCGUUAAGGAACUCGGCAAAAUGACCCCGUAACUUCGGGAGAAGGGGUGCUCUUUAGGGUUAACGCCCAGAAGAGCCGCAGUGAAUAGGCCCAAGCGACUGUUUAUCAAAAACACAGGUCUCUGCUAAACCGUAAGGUGAUGUAUAGGGGCUGACGCCUGCCCGGUGCUGGAAGGUUAAGAGGAGUGGUUAGCUUCUGCGAAGCUACGAAUCGAAGCCCCAGUAAACGGCGGCCGUAACUAUAACGGUCCUAAGGUAGCGAAAUUCCUUGUCGGGUAAGUUCCGACCCGCACGAAAGGCGUAACGAUUUGGGCACUGUCUCAACGAGAGACUCGGUGAAAUCAUAGUACCUGUGAAGAUGCAGGUUACCCGCGACAGGACGGAAAGACCCCGUGGAGCUUUACUGUAGCCUGAUAUUGAAAUUCGGCACAGCUUGUACAGGAUAGGUAGGAGCCUUUGAAACGUGAGCGCUAGCUUACGUGGAGGCGCUGGUGGGAUACUACCCUAGCUGUGUUGGCUUUCUAACCCGCACCACUUAUCGUGGUGGGAGACAGUGUCAGGCGGGCAGUUUGACUGGGGCGGUCGCCUCCUAAAAGGUAACGGAGGCGCUCAAAGGUUCCCUCAGAAUGGUUGGAAAUCAUUCAUAGAGUGUAAAGGCAUAAGGGAGCUUGACUGCGAGACCUACAAGUCGAGCAGGGUCGAAAGACGGACUUAGUGAUCCGGUGGUUCCGCAUGGAAGGGCCAUCGCUCAACGGAUAAAAGCUACCCCGGGGAUAACAGGCUUAUCUCCCCCAAGAGUUCACAUCGACGGGGAGGUUUGGCACCUCGAUGUCGGCUCAUCGCAUCCUGGGGCUGUAGUCGGUCCCAAGGGUUGGGCUGUUCGCCCAUUAAAGCGGUACGCGAGCUGGGUUCAGAACGUCGUGAGACAGUUCGGUCCCUAUCCGUCGUGGGCGUAGGAAAUUUGAGAGGAGCUGUCCUUAGUACGAGAGGACCGGGAUGGACAUACCUCUGGUGUACCAGUUGUCGUGCCAACGGCAUAGCUGGGUAGCUAUGUGUGGACGGGAUAAGUGCUGAAAGCAUCUAAGCAUGAAGCCCCCCUCAAGAUGAGAUUUCCCAACUUCGGUUAUAAGAUCCCUCAAAGAUGAUGAGGUUAAUAGGUUCGAGGUGGAAGCAUGGUGACAUGUGGAGCUGACGAAUACUAAUCGAUCGAAGACUUAAUCAA
rnacentral:rRNA from 1 species